GUAAGAGGCAUUAAUAUCCAUGACCUGAAACGUGAUUAGAAAGGUUUCGGGGCCAAUAGUUAUUGGCAAGUCUAUCUCCCCGAGAACGCUCUUGCGGGUUCCAUCAAAGGCUUUGACCAGAAAAGUGCUCCUCCUCAAGGGAGUUCCCCGGUAACUCAGCUGAUCCAGCGUUGAUUUGGGCAUCACGUUCAAAGAUGAGCCAGUGUCUACUAACACAUUUGAG
rnacentral:lncRNA from 1 species